rnacentral:snRNA from 2 species
UUGCUUUGGUAGCACAUACACUAAAAUGGGAUAUGAUACAGAGAAGAUUAGCAUGGCUUCUUCACAAGAGGAUGAAAUGGAAAUCCAUGAAGACAUCCAUAUUUUU